UAGAAGUUCAGUGGUAGAAUUCUCGUCUUCCAUGCAGGAGACCCAGGUUCAAUUCCCGGCUA
rnacentral:tRNA from 1 species